rnacentral:tmRNA from 1 species
GGGGGCGAACUGGAUUCGACGGAGAUAAUGAGGCAAAGGCUGCAUGUCGAGGCUCCGCCCACCUCGUAAAAAAGGUGGACCAAACUAAGUGCAGAACAACUGCCAGUUGCUGCCUAACACAUAGGUACGCCGUUUCUCUUGCGCUUUCCUGCGGUGCUUGAGAAGCGUCGACGAGCAGGAUAGCGAGCCAGGCCCGUCCUGAGCCUGGGGAGCGAAACAGCAUCGGGGCUGGUUCUGAGGUGUUUUUCUUCUUCUAGAGCCGCAGAACAAGAUGUAAGAAGAAGAUAAACAUGUAGAUGCCUUUCGUUGAAUAUCUUCGGACGCGGGUUCGAUUCCCGCCGCCUCCAAAA